rnacentral:lncRNA from 9 species
GGUGGAAGCCGAAGGCCAGGCCAGGCUCCAUGGGGCCGAGACCCCUCCUCUGGCGGUGGUGGCAGGAGAGAUCCCAAGGAGUGGAGCCAUUCCCUGGGGAAGCCCCUGAAAGUGCAACAGUGGGUGUGACAGAGGAGCAGCAAUGGGCUGGAGACCUUCAGGGGCCAGGGACCUCCGUCGUCAAUGUUUGGGUCCCGGCCGGGAUGGACUUGGGUGAUGGAGAAGCCUGAUCCAGUGACUCUUCAGUGGGAAGACCGGGGCGCAGGGAAGAAGGUGUCACGAGACCGGCCUGGUGGAUGCAGGUUAUCUGAUGGAUGGCUCAAGGGGGCCCGGACUCUGUCCUGGCAGGGAUCUGUGUCCUUGUGAAGAAACGGUGGUCCCGUUUAAGGGACUGAGUGCAGCCCAGCCCCAGCCUGACCUUCAACCCCCAAGCCCUGAGGUUCUGCCUCCUUGGGCUCGUAGCAGAAUCACCUGGACCCCGGGGAAGGAGCAGAACCGGCUGACGCUUGAGUCCGCUGAGUGCAGAAAGGGCGAGUCAGUGGCGGUCCUCCUCGCUUUCCCUGUCUCUCUGUCACUGUCCCUGACUCUCUGUCUCGGUGGCUCUGCCUCGGUCUGUCCCUCUUGUCUCUCGCCUGGCUCUCUCUGUCGCCGUACGGGUCUCUUUCCUUUCUGGCAGCUUCGCGUCUGUGUGGUGGGGUGCACACCAGACCCCGGCGAGCCGAUUGGGCCCGUUUCCCUGGUGAGACCCCUAGACGAUUCCUUCAGUGGGGGAGAUGGCCAAGGAAGCAGUGUGGCAGGCAGCCGCCAGGCCCGAAGGCCGGCUCCUUCCUGGAUGAGCAGGCGAGGAUGGCAGCGUUGUCUUUGGAGCCAGGGGACCAGUGGUGGAAGCCGAAGGCCAGGCCAGGCUGCGUGGGGCCGAGACCCCUCCUCUGGCGGUGGUGGCAGGAGAGAUCCCAAGGUGAGGCAUGGCCUCGGGCUGUCUUGGUUUGGGUCAUCGGGGCCAGUGUUUUCCAUGUCUUUAAAAUGUCCUAUGUAGAAUCCCCAGGUGACUAAUCGUCCCUUGAGAACUAAGGCAUGAACCUUUAUGCUGGUUAAUUGACAAUAGGGAUUUCACCAAAGGAAGAUACAAUCUCUUUUGGUACUACUUAGAUCAUCAGGGAUAUUCAAGUGUCUUGUACUCUGAUUUUCGUUAAUCAAGUACUUCUUGUUAUGAAGGAAACAUUAAAUUGAUCCCAAAACAUGAACAUGGGAAGUGACAUUGGCCUAAUGUACCCGUGAUGAUUAGAACAUGGGUCAGGUCCCAGUGGUGAGUCAUGAAUGACGCAUGAUAAGGGUCUGAAGCCCUGUGGCCCCACACAGUCCAUCCUCUUUGGCUCUGUUUAGGCCAUCCUGUGGACAGGUGUUAGGAACACAGAAAGUUCG